AUUGAACGCUGGCGGCAGGCUUAACACAUGCAAGUCGAGCGGAGAUGAGGUGCUUGCUCCUUGAUUCAGCGGCGGACGGGUGAGUAAUGCCUAGGAAUCUGCCUGGUAGUGGGGGACAACGUUUCGAAAGGAACGCUAAUACCGCAUACGUCCUACGGGAGAAAGCAGGGGACCUUCGGGCCUUGCGCUAUCAGAUGAGCCUAGGUCGGAUUAGCUAGUAGGUGAGGUAAUGGCUCACCUAGGCGACGAUCCGUAACUGGUCUGAGAGGAUGAUCAGUCACACUGGAACUGAGACACGGUCCAGACUCCUACGGGAGGCAGCAGUGGGGAAUAUUGGACAAUGGGCGAAAGCCUGAUCCAGCCAUGCCGCGUGUGUGAAGAAGGUCUUCGGAUUGUAAAGCACUUUAAGUUGGGAGGAAGGGCAGUAAGCUAAUACCUUGCUGUUUUGACGUUACCGACAGAAUAAGCACCGGCUAACUCUGUGCCAGCAGCCGCGGUAAGAC
rnacentral:rRNA from 1 species